AGUGAACGCUGGCGGCGUGCUUAACACAUGCAAGUCGAACGAGAACGGAUUAUAGCUUGCUAUAAUUGUCAGCUAAGUGGCGCACGGGUGAGUAAUGUAUAGGUAAUAUGCCUCUUACUAAGGGAUAACAAAUGGAAACGUUUGCUAAUACCUUAUACUCCUUAUUAACAUAAGUUAAUAAGGGAAAGAUUUAUUGGUAAGAGAUUAGCCUGUAUUGUAUCAGUUAGUUGGUGGGGUAAUGGCUUACCAAGACUAUGACACAUAACUGGUUUGAGAGGAGGAUCAGUCACACUGGAACUGAGACACGGUCCAGACUCCUACGGGGGGCAGCAGUGGGGAAUAUUGCACAAUGGACGAAAGUCUGAUGCAGCAACGCCGCGUGGAGGAGGACACAUUUCGGUGCGUAAACUCCUUUUAUAUGAGAAGAUAAUGACGGUAUUAUAUGAAUAAGCACCGGCUAACUCCGUGCCAGCCGCCGCCGUAA
rnacentral:rRNA from 1 species